rnacentral:rRNA from 1 species
AUUGAACGCUGGCGGAAUGCUUUACACAUGCAAGUCGAACGGCAGCACGGACUUCGGUCUGGUGGCGAGUGGCGAACGGGUGAGUAACAUAUCGGAACGUAUCCAAUAAUGGGGGAUAACGAGUCGAAAGAUUCGCUAAUACCGCAUACGCCCUACGGGGGAAAGCUGGGGACCUUCGGGCCUGGCGUUAAUGGAGCGGCCGAUAUCUGAUUAGCUAGUUGGUGAGGUAAAGGCUCACCAAGGCGACGAUCAGUAGCUGGACUGAGAGGACGACCAGCCACACGGGAAAUGAGACACGGUCCAGACUCCUACGGGAGGCAGCAGUGGGGAAUUUUGGACAAUGGGCGCAAGCCUGAUCCAGCCAUUCCGCGUGAGUGAAGAAGGCCUUCGGGUUGUAAAGCUCUUUCGCAAGGGAAGAAAACUUAGCCACUAACAUUGGUUGAGGUUGACGGUACCUUGAUAAGAAGCACCGGCUAACUACGUGCCAGCCGCCGCCGUAA